AACUCAUCUUAUAACUGUCUUUGUUUACUAUCUAAUAAAGACCACAUUUCUAGUUGUUGUUUAAUUGGACACAAAUUAGGGUUUAUUGCGUCUUUAUUAGAUGACCUAUAACGGUGUAUGUGCACAGUCUAACAUAGACCUUAUUAUCUGUAGUUUUUGUCUAAUUUGACAAAACGUACAGUUUAUUACAUCUUAUAAGUGUUGUUUGCAAAUGAAACAAAACAGCAAAACAGUUCAAACUUUAUUAAACCUUUAUUACACAGCAGGUGACAUUUUCAUGGCGGCUGGUUUAAUGUAUAUGUGCCUCAGUCGCCAGUAAGAUCAUUCUUGCAGCCAAGGUCUUGUCAGAGAAGGAACCACGCUGCUUUACCGGACUUAUGGAUUUGGUUGUAAAACCACAGAUUCGUAGUCGGUAAUCUGGAUCUCGGUCAAGACGGUACACAAACGUUCCCUGCAGUGUACAGCUGCUCCCGGACGGCCGUCGGACGGUCGGUUUACAUAGUGGUUCGUAUUCUCUUCCUCCUCUCGCCGAGAAACGCCGGCACAUCAUUUUCUUGGAGGUUUCGGCGCACGGGAUUGUCAGGAGUUACAAUGAUAGCGUGUCUCCUUUAGAAAGUAAAGCACUGCCUGAGUCGGUGUGGCGAAGCGAGAUAGAGCGCACGAGUUUAGUGUUUCCGCGACAGUACCAGGGUUUCACUCUGCGGUCCGUACAUGUGGUCUGUGCGCUGCGUUGACGAAGUAAGGGACGUCGACGUCCUCCGAGAAUAGCGUACUUUUGUAGGAAGGUCUUCGCAUGCAUUUGCGAGGUGUAGAUUCUGGAUUCAAGCCAUUACCAAGACCGCCCUGUGGACACUGACCGUCAGAUACCAUACGUGCGCGUAACGCUAUGGAGGAACGUCCCCGUUUACCGUAACGCUGCUGCGUAAUGAUGCUUUUCGUGGAUAACGCGGAGGCUUGUAUGCCGCCGACGUGGAUAUUUUCAGAUAAGCUUCAGAGAUAUCAGAGCUCUUAGAACGUCACGGGAUAUUUUAUUGUACCGGUGCGAGGGGAGGGU
rnacentral:lncRNA from 1 species